rnacentral:rRNA from 1 species
ACNNUGCAGUCGAACGGUGAAGCCAAGCUUGCUUGGUGGAUCAGUGGCGAACGGGUGAGUAACACGUGAGCAACCUGCCCUGGACUCUGGGAUAAGCGCUGGAAACGGCGUCUAAUACUGGAUAUGAGACGUGAUCGCAUGGUCGUGUUUGGAAAGAUUUUUCGGUCUGGGAUGGGCUCGCGGCCUAUCAGCUUGUUGGUGAGGUAAUGGCUCACCAAGGCGUCGACGGGUAGCCGGCCUGAGAGGGUGACCGGCCACACUGGGACUGAGACACGGCCCAGACUCCUACGGGAGGCAGCAGUGGGGAAUAUUGCACAAUGGGCGGAAGCCUGAUGCAGCAACGCCGCGUGAGGGAUGACGGCCUUCGGGUUGUAAACCUCUUUUAGCAGGGAAGAAGCGUAAGUGACGGUACCUGCAGAAAAAGCGCCGGCUAACUACGUGCCAGCAGCCGCGGUAAUACGUAGGGCGCAAGCGUUAUCCGGAAUUAUUGGGCGUAAAGAGCUCGUAGGCGGUUUGUCGCGUCUGCUGUGAAAUCCCGAGGCUCAACCUCGGGCCUGCAGUGGGUACGGGCAGACUAGAGUGCGGUAGGGGAGAUUGGAAUUCCUGGUGUAGCGGUGGAAUGCGCAGAUAUCAGGAGGAACACCGAUGGCGAAGGCAGAUCUCUGGGCCGUAACUGACGCUGAGGAGCGAAAGGGUGGGGAGCAAACAGGCUUAGAUACCCUGGUAGUCCACCCCGUAAACGUUGGGAACUAGUUGUGGGGACCAUUCCACGGUUUCCGUGACGCAGCUAACGCAUUAAGUUCCCCGCCUGGGGAGUACGGCCGCAAGGCUAAAACUCAAAGGAAUUGACGGGGACCCGCACAAGCGGCGGANCAUGCGGAUUAAUUCGAUGCAACGCGAAGAACCUUACCAANGCUUGACAUAUACGANAACGGGNCAGAAAUGGUCAACUCUUUGGACACUCGUAAACNNNGNGCAUGGUNGUCGUCAGCUCNNGUCGUGAGAUGUUGGNNAGUCCCGC